CCUUGACUCUGGGAUAAGCCCGGGAGACUGGGUCUAAUACCGGAUAUGACCUCUCAUCGCAUGGUGGGGGGUGGAAAGUUUUAACGGUCUUGGAUGGGCUCGCGGCCUAUCAGCUUGACGGUGGGGUAGUGGCCUACCGUGGCUUUGACGGGUAGCCGGCCUGAGAGGGUGACCGGCCACACUGGGACUGAGACACGGCCCAGACUCCUACGGGAGGCAGCAGUGGGGAAUAUUGCACAAUGGGCGCAAGCCUGAUGCAGCGACGCCGCGUGCGGGAUGACGGCCUUCGGGUUGUAAACCGCUUUCAGCAGGGAAGAAGGGCCUCUUUUUGGAGGUUUGACGGUACUUGCAGAAGAAGCGCCGGCUAACUACGUGCCAGCAGCCGCGGUAAUACGUAGGGCGCGAGCGUUAUCCGGAAUUAUUGGGCGUGAAGAGCUUGUAGGCGGUUUGCCGCGUCUGCUGUGAAAGCCCGGGGCUUAACUCCGGGUGUGCAGUGGGUACGGGCAGGCUAGAGUGCAGUAGGGGAGACUGGAAUUCCUGGUGUAGCGGUGAAAUGCGCAGAUAUCAGGAGGAACACCGAUGGCGAAGGCAGGUCUCUGGGCUGUUACUGACGCUGAGGAGCGAAAGCAUGGGUAGCGAA
rnacentral:rRNA from 1 species